AUUCUGGGGUGUACGACACCUUCUGUUAUUUUGAACCUACAUUUUUUUAUACGGGAUACUAAUAUUUUUUGAUGGAUGUCAUGCCCGAUUUCGGGAAGGCAGAAAUCAGAGUGAGGUAACCCACCUAGCGUUGCUAGGAGUCAAAAUACAGAAAACGGCACUUCGGAU
rnacentral:other from 1 species